rnacentral:rRNA from 1 species
CGUUCUAAGUGCUGUGAAGUCAGAUCGUAAGGACUGGUGGAGCGCUUAGAAGUGAGAAUGCCGGUAUGAGUAGCGAAAGACGGGUGAGAAUCCCGUCCACCGAAUGCCUAAGGUUUCCUGAGGAAGGCUCGUCCGCUCAGGGUUAGUCAGGACCUAAGCCGAGGCCGACAGGCGUAGGCGAUGGACAACAGGUUGAUAUUCCUGUACCACCUCUUUAUCGUUUGAGCAAUGGAGGGACGCAGAAGGAUAGAAGAAGCGUGCGAUUGGUUGAGCACGUCCAAGCAGUUAGGCUGGUA